UGCAAGUCGCACGAGAAGGGGAGCAAUCCCUGAGUAAAGUGGCGCACGGGUGAGUAACACGUGAAUCAUCUACCUCCGAGUGGGGAAUAACUGAGAGAAAUCUUAGCUAAUACCGCAUAACACUUACGAGUCAAAGCAGCAAUGCGCUUGGAGAGGAGUUCGCGGCCGAUUAGCUAGUUGGCGGGGUAAUGGCCCACCAAGGCGAUGAUCGGUAUCCGGCCUGAGAGGGCGCACGGACACACUGGAACUGAAACACGGUCCAGACUCCUACGGGAGGCAGCAGUGGGGAAUUUUGCGCAAUGGGGGAAACCCUGACGCAGCAACGCCGCGUGGAGGAUGAAGUAUCUUGGUACGUAAACUCCUUUCGAUGGGGAAGAUAAUGACGGUACCCAUAGAAGAAGCCCCGGCUAACUUCGUGCCAGCAGCCGCGGUAAUACGAGGGGGGCAAGCGUUGUUCGGAAUUAUUGGGCGUAAAGGGUGCGUAGGCGGUUUGACAAGUCAUCUGUGAAAUCUAUGGGCUCAACCCAUAGUCUGCAGGCGAAACUGUCGGGCUUGAGUAUUGGAGAGGUGAGUGGAAUUUCCGGUGUAGCGGUGAAAUGCGUAGAUAUCGGAAGGAACACCUGUGGCGAAAGCGGCUCACUGGACAAUAACUGACGCUGAGGCACGAAAGCUAGGGGAGCAAACAGGAUUAGAUACCCUGGUAGUCCUAGCCCUAAACGAUGAUUGUUUGAUGUGGCAGGUACCCAAUCCUGCCGUGUCGAAGCUAACGCGAUAAACAAUCCGCCUGGGGAGU
rnacentral:rRNA from 1 species